rnacentral:rRNA from 1 species
GAUGAACGCUAGCGGCAGGCCUAACACAUGCAAGUCGAGGGGCAGCACGUCUUCGGAUGGUGGCGACCGGCGCACGGGUGCGUAACGCGUAUGCAACCUACCUCUUACAGUGGGAUAGCCCAGAGAAAUUUGGAUUAAUACCGCAUAGUAUACAGAUUCAGCAUUGGGACUGUAUUAAACAUUUAUGGGUAAGAGAUGGGCAUGCGUUCUAUUAGUUAGUUGGAGUGGUAACGGCACCCCAAGACAGCGAUAGAUAGGGCCCGUCGAGAGGGGGAGUCCCCCACCACUGGUACGUGAGACACGGACCGAGACUCCUACGGGAGGCAGCAGUGAGGAAUAUUGGACAAUGGGCGGAGAGCCUGAUCCAGCCACUGCCGCGUGCAGGAA